ACGCUCUUCCCAUCUAAAGAGCUGAGGUGGCUGAGAGUGAAUGUGGGGACCUAGAAGAGGAGCUGAACAUUGUUACCAACAACUUGACACCCCUGGAGGCCCAAGAAGACAAGUAUUCCACCAAAGAGGACACAUAUGAGGAGGAGAUCAAACUGCUAGAGGAAAAGCUGAAGGAGGCUGAGACUCGAGCAGAAUUUGCUGAAAGAUCUGCGGCAAAGUUAGAGAAAACCACUGAUAUCCUG